rnacentral:rRNA from 1 species
CCCUGCCAUUUGUACACACCGCCCGUCGCUCCUACCGAUUGAAUGGUCCGGUGAAAUCUUUGGACCACCGGACGGAGUUGGUCCGCCAACCCUGUCUGAGUGGGAAGUUGAUUAAACCUUAUCAUUUAGAGGAAGGAGAAGUCGUAACAA